rnacentral:rRNA from 1 species
GUAGGGAAUAUUGGGCAAUGGUCGGAAGACUGACCCAGCCAUGCCGCGUGCAGGAAGACGGCCCUCUGGGUUGUAAACUGCUUUUAUCUGGGAAGAAAAAGGCCAUGCGUGGCAAAUUGCCGGUACCAGAUGAAUAAGCACCGGCUAACUCCGUGCCAGCAGCCGCGGUAAUACGGAGGGUGCGAGCGUUGUCCGGAUUUAUUGGGUUUAAAGGGUGCGUAGGCGGCUGAUUAAGUCAGCGGUGAAAGACUUCGGCUUAACCGGAGCAGUGCCGUUGAUACUGGUUGGCUUGAGUGUCGGAGGGGUACAUGGAAUUGAUGGUGUAGCGGUGAAAUGCAUAGAUACCAUCAGGAACACCGAUAGCGAAGGCAUUGUACUGGCCGACAACUGACGCUGAUGUACGAAAGUGUGGGGAUCGAACAGGAUUAGAUACCCUAGUAGUCC